UACGUAGGGUGCGAGCGUUAAUCGGAAUUACUGGGCGUAAAGCGUGCGCAGGCGGUUCGCUGUGUCCGAUGUGAAAGCCCCGGGCUCAACCUGGGAAUGGCAUGGGAAACUGGCGGGCUUGAGUGUGGCAGAGGGGGGUGGAAUUCCGCGUGUAGCAGUGAAAUGCGUAGAGAUGCGGAGGAACACCGAUGGCGAAGGCGGCCCCCUGGGCCAACACUGACGCUCAGGCACGAAAGCGUGGGGAGCAAACAGG
rnacentral:rRNA from 1 species